CGGGGCGUAGCGCAGUCCGGUAGCGCGUCUGGUUUGGGACCAGAAGGUCCCGGGUUCAAAUCCCGGCGCCCCGA
rfam:Candidatus Rokubacteria bacterium 13_1_40CM_2_68_8 13_1_40cm_2_scaffold_12073, whole genome shotgun sequence.